ACUAACCUAUAAAUUCAUAAAAUGAAGACUCAACUUAACCCUAAACUCCACUAGAAGAUUCCCUACAUAUGCUCCAUGUAAUUCUUUAUUUUGUUGGAAUCCAUGUGAAAUUUCAGAUUUACCCUUUUCUUCCUAUGCUCUACAUUUUUCUUGUUGCUUGCAUAUCUCUUGUUGUGUAUGUUGAUGGUUUGGUAACGUGGCCUUCUUUCUGUAAGAGUUUACUGUAAUUGCACAUGGGAUAAGGAAAAAUAGUGGUUUGUGCAAUAGGUACCAGGAUGAUUGGCUCAAGACGUCAGCAAGCUCUCUGCAACUCUGGGAAAAGGCUCCUCUUGAACCAUAUACUCUGCAAAAACCUAUGACUUACUAUGUUGUAUGUCCAGACAUUGAUCCCCUUACUACCGCUGCUGCGGACUUUUUUUCAGCAACUUGGCACUGGUAGCUGCAACUUCUGAUCUAAUGCUUGGAUAUGUGGAUUUUUUCCUCGGUGGAGAUGAAAAAAGAGCUGACCUUCCUCCUCGCCUUCAGCAAAGAUUUCCAAUGUCUUUGUUGUUUGGAGGAGAUGGAAGUUACAUGGCUCUUUUCUCCCUUCACAGUGACAAUAUCCUCACUAGCCUCAUGA